rnacentral:rRNA from 1 species
AGAGUUUGAUCAUGGCUCAGAACGAACGCUGGCGGCGUGGAUUAGGCAUGCAAGUCGAGCGGGAUCUAUCGAAGCUUGCUUUGAUAGUGAGAGCGGCGAACGGGUGAGGAAUACAUGGGUAAUCUGCCUUUUAGUCUGGAAUAGCUUCGGGAAACUGGAGGUAAUGCCGGAUGUGAUCGGUCACCAUAAGGUGAUUUGUUUAAAGAGGGGGAUCUUCGGACCUCUCGCUAAGAGAUGGGCCCAUGUCCUAUCAGCUAGUUGGUGAGGUAAUGGCUCACCAAGGCUAUGACGGGUAGCUGGUCUGAGAGGAUGGUCAGCCACACUGGGACUGAGACACUGCCCAGACUCCUACGGGAGGCUGCAGUCGAGAAUCAUUCACAAUGCACGAAAGUGUGAUGAUGCGACGCCGCGUGAAGGAUGAAGGCCCUAGGGUCGUAAACUUCUGUCAGAAGGAAAGAACAGCACUUGGAUUAAUACUCCUUGUGUUUGACGGUACCUUCAGAGGAAGCCACGGCUAACUCUGUGCCAGCAGCCGCGGUAAUACAGAGGUGGCAAGCGUUGUUCGGAUUUACUGGGCGUAAAGGGUGCGUAGGCGGUUUUGUGUGUCA